GGCGGCGGCCACCCAGAGAGGGAGCCGAGGCCGGACCUUGAAAGGGUGAGGCGUCGAGGGCGCGGAGGGACGGGUCGCCCGUGUGGAAGGACCCGAGAGGUUGAAGGGGUGGGGGCGAGGGGGGUGUGCUGGGAGAAAUGUCGGCUGUGGGGAACGAAGCCGCAGGUUCUAAAGGGUCAAGCUCAAAGGCCUGGCGCGGGGAGGUGAAAGCAGGACAGAGGUGAGGCCCAGGUGCGGAGCUGCCCGGGGCGCGGCGCCCUGAGAGGGCGAACUGCGGAGGGAGGGACCGGCCAACGGCGGCCGGGAGGUGGCGGGCGCGCUGGCCAAGCCCCGGAAAAGCCGCUCCCGAGCCCAACACACCUUUAAGUGCAAACAGCGGGCGGAAGCUUUCCGGCCGCCCCCCCCCCCCCCGCCCCCGGCUCGGGGCGCACGCUCCUCCGGACCGAGUCACUCACUGCCCACCUUGGGGAGUGAAACCUCCGCGCGCGGUUGCGCGGGUCUCGGGGGCGAAGAGGGCUGGACUCUCGGCCACCAAACAAACUUUCGGGCACCGUGGACCCCCACGCCGUUUCCUCUUAACUGCUCCUCCUCGUUCGGUGCUGGCUGCUCGCUGGAGACUGCAGCCUCCUCCGGUGCAGGGGCCCACUUCCUUUGCUUUGCCCUGGCCCCUAAAUAAAAUGUAUCGAAUACUGUACCUGAUGUUUUUCUAAAUCAAGCCAAAGCAGAGCUUUUUGCACAGUUCGUGGCUCAGAUCUCCCGCCCUCCACCUCGUACCAUUGCCUUUGUACUUCUGUGUCGAUUUGGCCAAGUUCCCCGAGCGAUCUCCCUACCUUCGUUCAGCUAAACCUGCCGGGAAUUUGAGCGCCCACCUUAGCGGGCCACCACCACCCCCCCCCCCCCCCACAUCGCCCUGCUCCCUCGUCGGACGGCCGUCUGGUGGGUUCUGUUGCCGUUUUCCAGAUAAAGUGCUGGGGAUGAAGUUGGAUUUUUGUUUGAAAUCGAUCUCUUAUUGGGAACACAACGCCGUCUGAAGUAUUCCUCAUUCGGCUCCAAUUAUCCGGCCCUUUACUCAUAGUGGGAGAACCGGUAACCGUACCCCAAUCACUACAGUAACCCGCGCCAGGUACAAAUCUGAGCCCCUUUCAGGAUGCUCCGGGGACGCUGGAGAUAGGGCUUUGCCGCCCAGAGGAAGCGCGGGCCGAGAGGGCCGGUGGCGGGAGGGUUUCAGGAGCUCGAGGCCGCGUGGACAGUCGCCACGCAGGUAACCGCAGAGCGCGCCCCGGGAGAGCGGGAGAAUGAAUGCCGGGCACUACGGGGGCCUCCGAGAGGGGCUGGGUACCAGCCUUGUCGGCAGCCGGAGCCCCAGCGUCCCGUGCUUUCAGGUGCGGGAUCCGGAAGGGCGCCCAUAGCCCCCUCCGCGGGCUCAGCGGCGUCAGCCUCGCCCCGCCCAGGCCGCGCGUCCCCGCGCGCUCUCCCAGGCCCGCAGGCGUCGCGGGGGCAGGGACUGGGCGCGGAAGGCGGCAGGGAGGGACCUGGAAAAACCACCCAGAUUGCAUUGCAGUGGGCGAGGCCGCCGGAGGAGCCGGUUCCCCCGAGCCGCCUGCCCGCGGGGCGUUCUCCGCGCGCGGUUCCCAGGCGCUCGGCCCUGCGGGGCGCGGGGCCUGGUGCGGGGCCCCCGCGCGGCGGCGGCUGGUGCGGGGGGAACAACCAGCCCUCCCCACACACACACCGGGCGGGAGACUGUUGCUGAAAAAAUGUUACAACUGCUCCGGCAGUCCUGCCCCACCCGUCCUUUCAGGCCUUUGGUGUCGGGAUCUGGGGAGUGCGUUUUGGGUAAACGCAAACUUGAUUACUUGCGCGUUUGCCGGGGAUCCGCGGCGUUGGGCGCGUUGGGAUCGAACCUCAGAGCUAACCCCUUUUCUCAAAAGCCUUGUCUGCUUCCUCUUGAAGGAAGUUGAUUUCCUAGUAACCGAUUCUUUUUAAUCUGAAUUUUAAUUCUUCCAACUACACAGACAGGAGGUUUUUUUGCCUUACUUUGUUCUAGAAUUGAUUCCGGGGGCCUGGAGCAGAGCUUGACAGCUACGAAGUACUCCACAAAUAUUUGUUGAAAGAUUUUAGCGAGUAACAACACCCACCCGUUUUUGCAGCUGUUUGUCUCCUGAGCCUGGGCACAGUCCACGGCUGCAACGAUCUCCAGGGGAGAGGAAAUACGUAAAGAAGUGUCUUCUUUAAAGAAGAAAAACUUGAGAACCAAGAAGUUUACUACAAAAUUGGAACCUUCCCUUGAGGAGGGGUCUUUCCUGGUGGCUCAGACAGUAAAGACUCUGCCUGCAAUGCAGGUCCCUGCAUUGGGAAGAUCCCCUGGAGAAGGGAAUGGCUACCCACUCCGGUAUUCUUGCCUGGAGAAUUCCAUGGACAGAGGAGCCUGGCGGGCUGCAGUUCAUGGGACCUCAGAAGAGUUGGACACAGCUGAGUGACUUUUCUCUCUAGACAACAACCACAAUGGGUCUCACCUUAGAUUAAAUUAAAGACAUCAUCAAGGCAGGGUGAAACAUUAGAUAAGAUUUUGCUAUCUGUGGAAGGAAAACAUACAGAAAAACUUUACCUGGAGAAAUGUGUCAUGAAUCUGGGCAAGAUAUAACUUCUCCUUGUGGACCAAAGGGAUGGCAACCCACUCCAGUAUUCUUGCCUGGAGAAUUCCAUGGACAGAGGAGCCUGGCAGGCUGCAGUCCAUGGGGUCGAAAAAAGCUAGACAGGACUGAGCGGCUGUCACUCACUGGGGACCGCAGAACUGAUCCAUUUAAACUGGGCAUCCAGGGAGAGAUGCCAGUUAGGGAGUUCCUCCCUCCAGGCCUCAACGUCCUUUGCUCAGGAGUACAGUCAGACCUCCAUAUCUGUGAUUCUGCAUCCGCAGGCAGAUUCAAUCAACUGAGAACGGAAAAUAUUAGGGAAAAAAAUUCAAAAAGUACAACAAUUCACAUAUAAUUUACAUUAUAUUAAGUAUUAUAAGUAGUCUAAAGAUGGUUUCAAACUGUGGUGCUGGAGAAGACUCUUUCGAGUCCCUUGGACAGCAAGGAGAUCAAACCAGUCAAUUCUAAAGGAAAUCAACCCUGAAUAUUCAUUAAAAGGACUGAUGCUAAAGCUGAAGCUUCAAUACUUUGGCCACCUGGUGUGAAGAGCUGGCUUGCUGGAAAAGACCCUGAUGCUGGGAAGGACUGAGGGCAGGAGGAGAAAGGGGCAUCAGAGGAUAAGAUGGUUAGAAAGCAUCACUGACUCAGUGGACAUGAAUUGGAGCAAACACCAGGAGAUAGUGAAGGACAGGGGAGCCUAGCAUGCUGGAGUCCCUGGGGUCAAGAGUUGGAUACAACUUAGUGACUGAACAAUGACAAGGAACAGACUGAUUUCUGCCCUACUUAACACAUUCUGUAAUUUCUGACUUAGUGACUAGAACAACAAAGGUGGUUUAAAUGGGAGGAUGUGCUGUAGAUUAUAUACAAAUACUAUCAUUUUACAGAAGGGACUUGAGCACCUUCAGAUUUUGGUAUGUGGAGGUGGGGGGGGGGCGGUAGAACCAGUUACCCACAGACCCUGAGGGAUGACUGUACAUCCCUGCAUCUCCCAAAAGCCACUCCGAGAGGAAAGAACAGCAGCAGACCUUAUGUUUUAAGUCAUGGUCGGUUGAUGGGAGUGUUUAAAGAUUUUGGGGGAAGGAAAAAAAGUUUUGUUACUCUUAUUUCCUAAGUUCCUCUGCUUUCCCUGUGCUUCGCCUACUCAUCUAUUUGGUUGAUAAAAAGCCAGUCUUGUUACUCUAAUAAAAUAUAACCCAAAGACCUCAAAAUCAUUAUUGCCCUGUUUUGUGUCUUUCUGAAGUAUUCAAAGUGCUGUUGAGAUAGUUUAUUUGCUGGACACUGCCAUUGGAGACAAUGGUGAUAGUUUUAUGACAGGACUGUAUCUCUAUUCAUUUGCAUGUCAGUGCAUUCUCACUUAGAGAUUCCUAAAUGCGUGUAACAGUCUAUACAAAGUGUCGGUCCUGGUGGAAGUGUUCAGUCAUUUAUUUAAAAAGUAUGUACUGACAGCAGCCUGUGUACCAGGCAAGACAGGUAGUAGGCGCUGAAAACAUACAAAAUAUAGGAAAUAAAUGCAAAUAAGGUCCUUACCCCUAUUAAGUGUGGGAUGCAAAUAAUCACAAAAGCAAACGCACCACUGCAACAGUGAUUUGCAAUCCUAAAGGUACACAGUGCUCUCGGAUUGCACAAGAGAACAUAACUACUAUAAGGGAGACCAGAAAGGCCAGUGAGCAGCAGUGUUUGAAUUAAAAUCCAGAAAGAGGAGUGAAAUAGGCAGAGGUAGGGGCGAGUAAGGAAGAGGGAACGAGAUGUCUCAGCAGCAUGGUGUGCAGAGCCUGUGAUGGGAAGUAGUGGCAAUGGAAAUGGA
ensembl:lncRNA